GACGAACGCUGGCGGCGUGCCUAAUACAUGCAAGUCGAACGAACAUCUUCGGAUGUUAGUGGCGAACGGGUGAGUAACACGUAAUUAAUCAAGCUGUGAGACGAGGAUAACUACUGGAAACGGUAGCUAAAACUGGAUAGGAUAAGUAAUCGAAAGAAGAUUUAUUUAAAGAUGCUAAUGGCAUCACUGACAGAUGAGCUUGGGGCGCAUUAGCUAGUUGGUAGGGUAAAGGCCUACCAAGGCGACGAUGCGUAGCCGACCUGAGAGGGUGAACGGCCACACUGGGACUGAGACACGGCCCAGACUCCUACGGGAGGCAGCAGUAGGGAAUCUUCGGCAAUGGACGAAAGUCUGACCGAGCAACGCCGCGUGAGUGAAGAAGGUCUUCGGAUUGUAAAGCUCUGUUAUCAGGGAAGAAAGAGAGAAACAGGAAAUGGUUUUUCAGUGACGGUACCUGAUAUAGAAAGCCACGGCUAACUACGUGCCAGCCGCCGCGGUAAUAC
rnacentral:rRNA from 1 species